rnacentral:rRNA from 1 species
CCUACGGGUGGCAGCAGUGAGGAAUAUUGGUCAAUGGGCGAGACCCUGAACCAGCCAAGCCGCGUGAAGGAUGAAGGAUCUAUGGGUUGUAAACUCCUUUUAUAUGGGAAUAAAGUGAGGAACGUGUUCCUUUUUGUAUGUACCAUAUGAAUAAGCAUCGGCUAACUCCGUGCCAGCAGCCGCGGUAAUACGGAGGGUGCGAGCGUUAUCCGGAUUUAUUGGGUUUAAAGGGUGCGUAGGUGGUUAAUUAAGUCAGCGGUGAAAGUUUGUGGCUCAACCAUAGAAUUGCCGUUGAAACUGGUUGGCUUGAGUAUAGUUGAGGUAGGCGGAAUGCGUGGUGUAGCGGUGAAAUGCAUAGAUAUCACGCAGAACACCGAUUGCGAAGGCAGCUUACUAAACUAUAACUGACGCUGAGGCACGAAAGCGUGGGGAUCAAACAGGAUUAGAUACCCCGGUAGUC